AAGUAUUAGUAAAAACAUUUUUUGCUAAGCUGGGUACACUGUUUUUUUCUUUUUUGGAAUUUUCAGAUUCUUAUCUUGCGAGGAAGAACUUUGCCCCAUUUAUAAUACUCCUCCAAAAUAGUAUCUUAUCACGUAACAUAACAGUUUAAUUUGUAAAUAGUCACUUCUUAGAUUAUGAUUGGGGCCAUUAUUUAUUUUAUACGUAUAGAAUUUUACUAUAAACUAUCUAACCGGGUGAUUUAUUUAAGUGGGUCACUCAGUACCUCGGAAAAUUACAAUUUUUUAUUUAUGCUUUUUUUGGGGGUAAAAUCACUAUCUAUUUUUAAUUUUCAAAUGACAACCUACAUUAAAAAUUCCAUAAAUAGAUGAAGUAUUAGUUAAAAUUUUUGAUUUAUGUCAAGCCACUGACGAGGUAUUUAACUUUUAAAUUAGGUUUGAGAUAAUAAUGGUGUAUUAUUAAAACACUGUAUGCCGAACCGUUACACAAAUGACCACUACUCUCUUCCAACCCAAACUUAAAAUUGGAAUAUCUCGUCAACGGAUUAAUGGAAAUCAAAAAAUUCAACACUAAAAUUUAUUUUAACUG